GAUGAACGCUGGCGGCGUGCCUAAUACAUGCAAGUCGAGCGAACGGACGAGAAGCUUGCUUCUCUGAUGUUAGCGGCGGACGGGUGAGUAACACGUGGAUAACCUACCUAUAAGACUGGGAUAACUUCGGGAAACCGGAGCUAAUACCGGAUGAUAUUUUGAACCGCAUGGUUCAAAAGUGAAAGACAGUCUUGCUGUCACUUAUAGAUGGAUCCGCGCUGCAUUAGCUAGUUGGUAAGGUAACGGCUUACCAAGGCAACGAUGCAUAGCCGACCUGAGAGGGUGAUCGGCCACACUGGAACUGAGACACGGUCCAGACUCCUACGGGAGGCAGCAGUAGGGAAUCUUCCGCAAUGGGCGAAAGCCUGAAGGAGCAACGCCGCGUGAGUGAUGAAGGUCUUCGGAUCGUAAAACUCUGUUAUUAGGGAAGAACAUAUGUGUAAGUAACUGUGCACAUCUUGACGGUACCUAAUCAGAAAGCCACGGCUAACUACGUG
rnacentral:rRNA from 1 species